AGGGAAUCUUCCGCAAUGGACGAAAGUCUGACGGAGCAACGCCGCGUGAGCGAUGAAGGUCUUCGGAUCGUAAAGCUCUGUUGUUAGGGAAGAACAAGUACCGGAGCAACUGUCGGUACCUUGACGGUACCUAACCAGAAAGCCACGGCUAACUACGUGCCAGCAGCCGCGGUAAUACGUAGGUGGCAAGCGUUGUCCGGAAUUAUUGGGCGUAAAGCGCGCGCAGGCGGUUCUUUAAGUCUGAUGUGAAAUCUUGCGGCUCAACCGCAAGCGGUCAUUGGAAACUGGGGGACUUGAGUGCAGGAGAGGAAAGCGGAAUUCCAUGUGUAGCGGUGAAAUGCGUAGAGAUAUGGAGGAACACCAGUGGCGAAGGCGGCUUUCUGGCCUGUAACUGACGCUGAGGCGCGAAAGCGUGGGGAGCAAAC
rnacentral:rRNA from 1 species